UACCGGUAAACUAACGCAACAGCUUCGGCCUGAGAACAACCUGUGACAGAGGAGAAAAACAACAACAUGACGGCUGUUCAAGACGACAAACUUCAGUGUGGCUAGAAGGGAUACAGCUACGGCCGGAAGUUACGCAAAAUCUCGGAAACACGAGCAGAGCCUGAACCCAGCUGACUGUGGGUGGAUGAAGUCAUUUUUCGCAGACGGUAUUUGGCCCUGUUUGGAUCACCUCAAGUGGCUUUCCUGCGGAGCAAGCUGAGAGACACACACGGCCCCCUCCCCAACGACAAAAGGAUGAGGAUGCACAUUUUAAGAUAUCAUUAUAAAAAGUCAGAGAGCAGAACUCACACAGACGCUGGAGAUUUAAAGAAAUACACAUUUUGGGAAAUAACACUUUUCACUUUGGUUCUGGGUGUGCAAUGAGAAUAAAUGAAUCUCAUGUCUGUGUGUUGAAAGGAUAGCCGUUAUCUCUGCUCGCUUCAAAGCCACCUUUGAGAAAAACGGUCAUUUUACCUCGCAGAACACGGGAGUUGCUGCUCUACCACUGCCUCCAUCAGUUAGUUAGUUGGUUAGUUUUGUUAGUUCCUAACACUUUAAAACAACAAAGUCACACGACCCUCGCUCCUCUGGUUGUAAAAAAGACAUUUAAAACUUAAAAUUAAAAUAAAUAUAAAUAAAUAUUAAAUUAAAAUAUACCAGAGUGCAAUCCCUAAAAUAAGAUUAACCUUCUGCCUCGACUCCUGAACCUGAACAUGAAGAAGGAUGAACUAUGAAGACUAAAACUAGAAGGCCUCAUCUAUGAUUGUCUUAGGUCAAUACAUAUCGGAGCUAAAGGGAUGUAGAGUCAAGGGAAAACACCAAACACUGUUGAUGUUAUAAAGGGUUGAUUUGGAUUCCCCAAAGUUACACAGUUACACAAACUAACUAACCACCAAUGUUAGCUUACCGGAUGAUAGCAUGCAGCUAAAGACACAGGUUAAUGUAAGCUUACU